rnacentral:rRNA from 1 species
GACGAACGCUGGCGGCGUGCCUAAUACAUGCAAGUAGAACGCUGAAGGAGGAGCUUGCUUCUCCGGAUGAGUUGCGAACGGGUGAGUAACGCGUAGGUAACCUGCCUGGUAGCGGGGGAUAACUAUUGGAAACGAUAGCUAAUACCGCAUAAGAGUAGAUGUUGCAUGACAUAUGCUUAAAAGGUGCAAUUGCAUCACUACCAGAUGGACCUGCGUUGUAUUAGCUAGUUGGUGGGGUAACGGCUCACCAAGGCGACGAUACAUAGCCGACCUGAGAGGGUGAUCGGCCACACUGGGACUGAGACACGGCCCAGACUCCUACGGGAGGCAGCAGUAGGGAAUCUUCGGCAAUGGACGGAAGUCUGACCGAGCAACGCCGCGUGAGUGAAGAAGGUUUUCGGAUCGUAAAGCUCUGUUGUAAGAGAAGAACGAGUGUGAGAGUGGAAAGUU